GAUGAACGCUGGCGGCGUGCCUAAUACAUGCAAGUCGAGCGAACAGACGAGGAGCUUGCUCCUCUGACGUUAGCGGCGGACGGGUGAGUAACACGUGGAUAACCUACCUAUCAGACUGGGAUAACUUCGGGAAACCGGAGCUAAUACCGGAUAAUAUAUUGAACCGCAUGGUUCAAUAGUGAAAGACGGUUUUGCUGUCACUUAUAGAUGGUUCCGCGCCGCAUUAGCUAGUUGGUACGGUAACGGCUUACCAAGGCAACGAUGCGUAGCCGACCUGAGAGGGUGAUCGGCCACACGGGAACUGAGACACGGUCCAGACUCCUACGGGAGGCAGCAGUAGGGAAUCUUCCGCAAUGGGCGAAAGCUUGACGGAGCAACGCCGCGUGAGUGAUGAAGGUCUUCGGAUCGUAAAACUCUGUUAUUAGGGAAGAACAAAUGUGUAAGUAACUAUGCACGUCUUGACGGUACCUAAUCAGAAAGCCACGGCUAACUACGUG
rnacentral:rRNA from 1 species